GUGCUUGGUUUGGCAGCACAUAUACUAAAAUUGGAACGAUACAGAGAAGAUUAGCAUGGCCCCUGCACAAGGAUGACACGCAAAAAUGUUUU
rnacentral:snRNA from 2 species